rnacentral:rRNA from 1 species
UACGGGGGGAGCAAGCGUUGUUCGGAUUUACUGGGCGUAAAGGGCGCGUAGGCGGCCACCGCAAGUCGACUGUGAAAUCUCCGGGCUUAACCCGGAAAGGUCAGCCGAUACUGCGGGGCUAGAGUGCAGAAGGGGCAACUGGAAUUCUCGGUGUAGCGGAUGAAUGCGUAGAUAUCGAGAGGACACUGCGGCGAAGGCGGGUUGCUGGGCUGACACUGACGCUGAUGCGCGAAAAGCCAGGGGAGCGAACGGG